GAGGAAAAAUCUCAUUCUUUUUAUGGUGUUCUACUGCCAGAUUGAUCAAACCAACCGUCCACAACUGGCUGACUUCAGUCAAUGAAAACACAACCGUACUAGGUGACUGAUAGUACCCAUCGAUGCAGCAGGAGGAGAAAAGUUCAGCCAUUCCAUUUUGAUUGUGUUUAUUUAUUCGUUGAUUUUAUUUACCUUCAAAAAAGUACCGUUUGUUUGUCCUUACUUUGUGCUGUUUAUAAUUGAGUUCAUUAAAAUUACUUGUACGAUAUGGAAACCAAUC